rnacentral:tRNA from 1 species
GCCUGGGUGGCUCAGUCGGUUAAGCGUCUGACUUCAGCUCAGGUCACGAUCUUUCAGUCUGUGAGUUCGAGCCCCGCAUCGGGCU